rnacentral:rRNA from 1 species
UGGGGAAUUUUGGACAAUGGGCGAAAGCCUGAUCCAGCAAUGCCGCGUGUGUGAAGAAGGCCUUCGGGUUGUAAAGCACUUUUGUCCGGAAAGAAAUCCUUGGCUCUAAUACAGUCGGGGGAUGACGGUACCGGAAGAAUAAGCACCGGCUAACUACGUGCCAGCAGCCGCGGUAAUACGUAGGGUGCAAGCGUUAAUCGGAAUUACUGGGCGUAAAGCGUGCGCAGGCGGUUUGCUAAGACCGAUGUGAAAUCCCCGGGCUCAACCUGGGAACUGCAUUGGUGACUGGCAGGCUAGAGUAUGGCAGAGGGGGGUAGAAUUCCACGUGUAGCAGUGAAAUGCGUAGAGAUGUGGAGGAAUACCGAUGGCGAAGGCAGCCCCCUGGGCCAAUACUGACGCUCAUGCACGAAAGCGUGGGGAGCAAACAGGAUUAGAUACCCUGGUAGUCCACGCCCUAAACGAUGUCAACUAGUUGUUGGGGGAUUCAUUUCCUUAGUAACGUAGCUAACGCGUGAAGUUGACCGCCUGGGGGAGUACGGUCGCAAGAUUAAAACUCAAAUGAAUUGACGGGGUCAUAGCUGUUUCCU